AUUACAGUUCAUUAUUGCGGCAAUCUUUUUGAAACAUGGACUGAUAGAGCAGCCAUGCUUGAUGAAAUUGCAGCUUAUGUGAAGUUCCUGAGGCUUCAAGUCAAGGUAUCAUCAACUCUUUACCUGUUUUCUCUCACAUUUCUUUUUCAUAUUUCUACUUUACUGAAUAUUGUAUUGCUGCUCAUGUUUAUGGGAUCAGUCUUUGAUACCUUAAUUGAGUUUUUCACUGCAAAUGGUAAUCAAUUUAGAUGAAAGUUGUUACUUUUUACAAUGAUAUAUAGUGAUAGAUUAUUUUUAAAA